AGAACUACCAUACAAUCCAGGUAUUUCACUGCUAGGUAACUUAUCCAAAGAACAUGGAAACACGAAUGUGUAAUGAUAUAUGCAUCCCCAUUUUCACUGCAGCAUUCAAUAGCCAAGGCUUGGAAGCUACCUAGGUGCCUAUCAAUGGACAAGUGGAUAAAGAAGAUGUCAUAUAUAUGUAUACCAUGGAAUACUACUCAGCCAUAAAGAAAGGAUCAAAUCUUGCCAUUUGUGACAACAAGGAUGGACUUUGAGGGUAUUAUGGUAAGUGAAGUAAGUCAGAGGGUUAAAGUCGAAUACCAUACGAUCUCACUCAUAAAUAGAAGAUAAAAACAACAACAAACAAACACAUAGAGAGAGAGAUUGGAUUGGUGGUUACCUGAGGGGAAGAGGAGAGAGAAGGGGUUAAAAGGGGUAAUUAGGCACAUGUAUAUGGUGAUAGAUUGUAACUAAUCUUUGAGUGGUGAACAUGAUGUAAUCUACAGAGAAAUCAAAAUAUAACGAUGUUCACCUGAAAUUUAUAUAAUGUUAUCAACCAAUGUUACCACAGUAAAAAAAAAAAAAAAAAAAAAAGCCCUGAGUUACAACCUUUCAGAUGUAUGACUACCAUUAAGCAAUGGUAGGGUUCUCCAUGGACUUCAGAAAGAAUAAUCUUUAACUUAAAAAUUGUGUAUCAGAAAAUCCUUAGUUCUCUUACUGUUUUCAUUUUAAGGACAUAAUCCUCAGCUGUUAAUGUCGCCAGCCCAUUGGGCUCUCUGACUCCAAUUCUGCUCCCCCGGAGAGCUGAUUGGGCCACUGAAAUGCUGCAAGGUCACGUGCAUGAGGGUUGAGCUGCUGUCCCACAGCACGGGGAGUCCUGGUGCCCUCUGGGCUCUUGGAGCAGCACAGGGAUGCUGUUUUGUUGGUGAGCUGGAAGCUCAUGUUUCACAAAGAUGCCGCUGGAUGGACAGGCUGACCUGCAUUGGAUUAGCACCACUGAGCCUCUGUGCAGGUCCGGCUGUUCUGGAAGGCUAAGCUGAAUUCCCAGAGCUGCUGUCUGGAGGGACAAGCCUGAGGAGCCAUUGGAGCUAUUUCCUGGCCUGGAUGCUGAGCCAAAGAUCAGGAGACAGAGGGAGGUGAAAACAAAAUCUAAAUCCAAAUCCAAAGGCUUGUCACUUUUCAAAGCUGCCUGAACCUGGUUAGUUCUUCCUUGUGAGUUAUAUUAAUGACACGCCAAGAUUUGGAAUUUGACUCAUAACUGCUCUAACACAGAAUCUUCA
rnacentral:lncRNA from 1 species